AAUAAAGGGCACACUAAUUGGCGGGAAAUAGACGCUUCACACAUUGCUCGCGAAACCCUUGGUGAACCCCGAAGGCAAAAUCAAAGGAGACGAACAAGGGCACAGAAAAAAGGGCCAGCGCGGCCACACCCGGCGGCGAAUCCAGACAAGCAGCAGGCCACAUCCCCAGAAGAAGAAUUCGUCGACGAGGAAGUCUUCGGUCUUCCUUGACGAAACCCUAUUCGAGAACGAGGACGACCUCUUUCUCCGCGACAUAGCGCAACGCCAGUCCCUUACGUCCCGGCUCUCUCCCAUGCCUACACUUCCGCCUCCCGAAGCAUCGGUGACAUAGAGCAGCGCCAGUCCCUCGCAUCCCGCCUCUCUCCCAUGCCUACACUUCCGCCUCCCGAAGCAUCGCUCUUCAGUAAUUGGAGAUUGAUUAUGUAAUUGGAGAGAGCCAUAGAUGUUCCGGGUCCGCUUCCAUUAUCCAAAUUAUUGGGGUUACAAAGGAAGCAUGUUGGUUAUUUGUCUCAGAAAUGCAACUUCUACCGAGUAUUCUAUGUUGCUGCACGGGAAUAAAUUAUGCUACCAAACUAAACAAAGAUAAUGUCUUUCUUUGGUAAUUCAAUAGGGGAGGAUGGGGGAGGUCAACAGGAACAGCAAGGUACAAAAAUUCAUUCGCCAUAGUGAAAUGGUGCAGAAGAGGAGUGUAUUACCAGCAGCAAGAUUCUGAACCUUCUCUCAAAAUUGUUGUUGCUUUGCCAACAAUGGUGGCCAGCUGCCGGGGCAUUCUUGAAAAAGGCAUACAAAUCGAUGGCCUUGGUAUGAAGAAAUUCAUGACAUAUGAUAUGACAACAAUGUUCCUUAUGCUCUUCUUUCCAUGAUUGAUUGCGUCAUAGUUGGUGGAAAUUGGAUUGAGGUCCCUGCGGGACCCUGCUGGACAAUAUAAGACAACUAAGCCUUUGUCGUACUGCCACUAAGAGUUGCAUUGCCUAUAUCCUUACGCAUUCAAGGCACUAUUUGGAGUUUGGCGAAAUAUUCAGACUUUAUCAGCCAUACUCCAGAAGGGAAAUUUUUUGAAGAUGGCUCCAUUUCGCAUAUUGAGCUUUGAUAUUGAGUGUGCUGGCUGUAAAGGUUGGAUCCCAAAGCUCUGCUGUUGAAUGGUUACCUGAGAGUUUGUAGCAAUCAGUGGGAUCAGCAGAUAAAAGCUUGAAGUUCUGAAAUGGGAUGUGUUUUUGGAGAAAGCUGGGAUUUGAGGGUGAAGCUGACUUCGUAAAAAAGUGGCUUGGUAGAUCACGUUAACACUACAAAAUUUACCAGUGAAUACCUUUUGUAUACAACAAGCUUAUUGGUCGGUGAAAAUGAAGAGUUCUUAAAGAAAGGAAGCUCAACAGUUCUUUUAAUGGAAUCAAAGGGUCAUUCUCUGCAUUCUUUUGUGAAUCAAGAACUCCAAGUAAAUAAGCUCUUGGUUCUCCACCUUUGGCAGUUGGCUCUGGGUUAGAUGCCUAUGGGUACUACUUUGGCGACAGCAGAUGGGCUUGUGAAGCAAGGUGAUGGAAGGGAUAUACCUUUUGUUUUGUUGAGAGCAGUAUUUGCUGGAAGUCAAAGGUAUGGAGCAGUAUGGACAGGAGAUAAUUUAGCUGAUUCGGAUCACCUUAGGGUUCAGUUCCAAUAGUUUUGACGCUUGGUCUUACUGGGAUCUCAUUGUCAGGUGCUGAUGGUGGGUUCUUUGACAAUCCAGAAUGUGAGUUGUUAGUUCGUUA